rnacentral:rRNA from 1 species
CCUACGGGCGGCUGCAGUGGGGGAUAUUGGACAAUGGGGGAAACCCUGAUCCAGCGACGCCGCGUGAGUGAAGAAGUAUUUCGGUAUGUAAAGCUCUAUCAGCAGGGAAGAAAGAAAUGACGGUACCUGAGUAAGAAGCCCCGGCUAACUACGUGCCAGCAGCCGCGGUAAUACGUAGGUGGCAAGCGUUAUCCGGAAUUACUGGGUGUAAAGGGAGCGUAGACGGUAAUGCAAGUCUGGAGUGAAAGGCGGGGGCUCAACCCCCGGACUGCUCUGGAAACUGUGUAACUGGAGUGCAGGAGAGGCAGACGGAAUUCCUAGUGUAGCGGUGAAAUGCGUAGAUAUUAGGAGGAACACCAGUGGCGAAGGCGGUUUACUGGACCGUAACUGACGUUGAGGCUCGAAAGCGUGGGGAGCAAACAGGAUUAGAUACCCGAGUAGUC